rnacentral:rRNA from 1 species
GGUGAACGCUGGCGGCGUGCCUAACACAUGCAAGUCGAACGAACAGACGAUAAGCUUUCGCCUCUGACGGUAGCGGCUGACGGGCGGGUAACGCGUAGAUAACCUUCCUAUUAUACUUGGAUAACUUCGGGAAACCGGUGCUAAUACUGCAGCAUAUAUUCAACCGCAUGAUGCAAUAGUUCAUGACGGUUUUCGCGUCACUUAUAGCUGGAUUCGUGUCGCAUUAGCUAGUUGGUAAGGUAACGGCUUACCAAGGCAACGAUGCGUAGCCGACCUGAGAGGGUGAUCGGCCACACUGGAACUGAGACACGGUCCAGACUCCUACGGGAGGCAGCAGUAGGGAAUCUUCCGCAAUGGGCGCAAGCUUGACGGAGCAACGCCGCGUGAGUGAUGAAGGCCUUCGGAUCGUAAAACUCUGUUAUUGGGAAAGAAAAAAUGUGUAAGUAACUAUGCACGUCUUGACGGUACCUAAUCAGAAAGCCACGGCUAACUACGUG